rfam:Clostridium hathewayi CAG:224 genomic scaffold, scf129
GGGGUAGUACUGGUUUCGACAGGGGCCAUGCAGCUGGUGAAGCUAUCCGCAUGCGAUGCGUUAAAUGGCAAACUUAAAUAUAAACGCUAACAAUAACGAAUUAGCACUGGCAGCUUAAUGCUGCUUGUCGGCCUUAGGGCACUCACACCUUAAGAAUCCGGCAUCGACGAUGUGAGAAACGACUUAUGCAAAGCUUUGAGCAUAUGGGCGUAUGAUGAAGCUACUGAACUCACCAGGGUGUCAGUUUUCGGGUGACAGAGGGAAUGUAAAACAACUGACUAUGAUAGUAGAAGAACAGGGAAUUGGUUUUUGGACACGGGUUCAAAUCCCGUCUACUCCACUC